rnacentral:misc_RNA from 1 species
CAACCCCUCAAGCCCUGUUGCUUGGUGCUGGGAGCCUACAGCCCCGCUGUAGCUCCUCAAAGUUAGUGGCGGAGUCAGUACACACUCUAGGCGUAGUAAUUCUAUCUCGCCUCUGCGGUUGUGCUGUCCCCUGCCGUAAAACCCCAACUUUAUAG